rnacentral:rRNA from 1 species
AAUAGAUACCCAGGUAGUCCACGCCGUAAACGAUGAAUACUAGGUGUAGGAGGGUCCAACCUUCUGUGCCGCCGUUAACACAUUAAGUAUUCCGCCUGGGGAGUACGGUCGCAAGAUUAAAACUCAAAGGAAUUGACGGGGGCCCGCACAAGCAGCGGAGCAUGUGGUUUAAUUCGAAGCAACGCGAAGAACCUUACCUAGACUUGACAUCUCCUGAAUUACCGGUAAUGCGGGAAGCCCUUCGGGGCAGGAAGACAGGUGGUGCAUGGUUGUCGUCAGCUCGUGUCGUGAGAUGUUGGGUUAAGUCCCGCAACGAGCGCAACCCUUAUUGUUAGUUGCUACCAUUAAGUUGAGCACUCUAGCAAGACUGCCGGGGUUAACUCGGAGGAAGGUGGGGAUGACGUCAAAUCAUCAUGCCCCUUAUGUCUGGGGCUACACACGUGCUACAAUGGCGAGUACAACGAGAGGCAAAGCCGCGAGGCGGAGCAAAACUNUAAAACUCGUCCCAGUUCGGAUUGUAGGCUGGAACUCGCCUACAUGAAGCCGG